GCCCUCUUAGCUUAGCGGUAGAGCGUUCGCCUCGUAAGCGAAAGGUCGGGUGUUCGAUCCACCCAGAGGGCA
rnacentral:tRNA from 1 species